UACGUAGGGUGCGAGCGUUGUCCGGAAUUAUUGGGCGUAAAGAGCUUGUAGGCGGUUUGUCGCGUCUGCUGUGAAAAUCCGGGGCUCAACCCCGGACUUGCAGUGGGUACGGGCAGACUGGAGUGUGGUAGGGGAGACUGGAAUUCCUGGUGUAGCGGUGGAAUGCGCAGAUAUCAGGAGGAACACCGAUGGCGAAGGCAGGUCUCUGGGCCACUACUGACGCUGAGAAGCGAAAGCGUGGGGAGCAAACAGG
rnacentral:rRNA from 1 species